rnacentral:lncRNA from 1 species
GUCUGAAAUUUUUUUUUUUGAAAACCUGACCCUAGGGUAUGCCAGAUCCGCCACAAAUACAGGAGAUCCACUGUUCACACGGACAGAGUCUCCCCUGUAUUUGCACGGCGUCGCACAAGUACAAGAGUUCAAACAUGAUACAACCACAACCAGAUGAAUAUACAAAUAACCACAGCUAUAUAUUCAUACACCAUUCACCAUAGAUUCACAUUUUUACAUUCAAUAUUUAAACAUAAAUCCACAUCUAUCAGUUAAAAUAUUUCCAACCACAGAAACAGGUUUUGAAAUACUAAGAAACAAAAUCACAGAAAACCCUUUGAAAACUGUUCUCUACACGGGAACUUUUAUUUUCUUUAAAAACGCUACCACGAGGGGUAGAAAAUUAUUUUUAUUUCAAGAAAACACAAAUCCUUUAUUACAUUCCAAAACCAACUGAAAACUCAGAUAUUCAGAUAAUAACACAAAACUGAACCAUGUAAACCGACUAAGCUAUAAAUCAACAGAAAUAAUAAGGGUAAUAACUAAAUCGAAAUAACCUGGGUCGGAAGCUCUAUCGACCGCUACACAUGUACCUCACGUCUCGUCCCACUAUUCAUCGCCCGCGAUACCUGAAAAAUGGUGGGGGAGGUGAGAACAUGUAAACAUGUCUCCCCUCCCAGUGGGUACCGCAAGCCGAAGAAGGCGAGGAGUACUCACCGGAUCAGGAAGAGCUAUACAACAACAUGGGUCAGUGGAAAUACAGUAUGAACAAUAGUAAACAAAAGAGAUGUAGAAGGUAAUGAGCAGAUAUACUAAAUACAGUAGCAAUAAACUGAAAGAAAGUAAGAACUAGACUGAAUAACGGCUACCGCUACUGUAACUGGAACCGAAAGCAUACAUGAAUAUCUACUAUAGCAGCAAGACAACUAUAAAGUAAGAACUAUAAGUAUGCAUGCAACGACUGCUGCUAUAGACAUAUGCGUCAACUGACGAUAACCUCAAAAGUACCCAAUCUCGCUGCCCUAUUGGUCCGAAGACCUCAGGCCCAUGCCACACUGCUCAACCUGUACCUGACCCUCGCAAUGAAGCCCCUGGGUCAGAAGCAUAGUACCUGACCCUCGCAAUGAAGCCCCUGGGUCAGAAGCAUAUACCCUCGCAAUAAAGCCCCUGGGCUCACGGGUUGGCAAUCCAACCACUUUUCCGGAAAAGAACACCCUCUUGCGGUGGAUCAGACCGCUGGUGUUCGUGAAAUGCGUACCUGCAGUGGCGAUCAAUGUAGUAUGCUCAAAGAUCUUCCAUCGGCAACUAGCCGACAAUCCAGCCCCUCAGGGCACACCGACCGUAUAGGCCAUCAACAACUAGUCGGCUACGUAUGUCAAGAUAGAACUGUAACAACUCGACCGAAUAGGUCAUAGAUAUCAAAAUAGGAGAACCGCCCAACCAAAUCACAGAUAUAGUGAACAGAUAAGUCGACUCUACUCCUAAGCAUAAUAUCGACAUGGAAAUAACUGAGUAGAGGAAUGUAGAUAUAAAUGCAGGUGCAAGGUUCAAUAUAACUGUAAGGUAGAGUAAACAGUAGGGGUGAAGAAGCGUCAC